GCCAGCAUGGUCUAGUGGUUUGAAUCCUGGACUACAACUCUGGCAACCAGGGUUCAAUUCCCUGUUCAGCCA